rnacentral:rRNA from 1 species
UACGUAGGGAGCGAGCGUUGUUCGGAAUUACUGGGUGUAAAGGGUGCGUAGGCGGCCUUGCAAGUCAGGCGUGAAAACCAUGGGCUCAACCCGUGGACUGCGUUUGAAACUGUGAGGCUUGAGUGAAGUAGAGGUAGGCGGAAUUCCCGGUGUAGCGGUGAAAUGCGUAGAGAUCGGGAGGAACACCAGUGGCGAAGGCGGCCUACUGGGCUUUAACUGACGCUGAGGCACGAAAGCAUGGGUAGCAAACAGG